CGAUUUAAGCAUAUCAAUAAGCGGAGGAAAAGAAACUAACAAGGAUUCCCCUAGUAACGGCGAGCGAAGCGGGAAGAGCUCAAAUUUGAAAGCUGGCACCUCCGGUGUCCGCGUUGUAAUCUCGAGACGUGUUUUCCGUGCGGCUCUAUGGACAAGUCCCUUGGAAUAGGGCAUCGUAGAGGGUGAGAAUCCCGUACUUGCCAUGGAAGAACCGUGCUUUGCGAUACACGCUCUAAGAGUCGAGUUGUUUGGGAUUGCAGCUCAAAAUGGGUGGUAGACUCCAUCUAAAGCUAAAUAUCGGGGAGAGACCGAUAGCGAACAAGUACCGUGAGGGAAAGAUGAAAAGCACUUUGGAAAGAGAGUUAAAGGUACGUGAAAUUGUCGAAAGGGAAGCACUUGAAGUCAGCCAUGCUGCUUGAGACUCAGCCUGGCCUUUGGGCUUGGUGUAUUUCUCGGUGGCAAGCCAGCAUUGGUUUGGGUCGUCGGAGAAGCGCAUAGGGAAUGUAGCGUUUCCGGACGUGUUAUAGCCUUAUGCAGGAUACGACGACCUGGAUCAAGGAACGCAGUGUGCCCUCUGGGCGGGUCUUCGGACACCUUCACACUUAGGAUGCUGGCGUAAUGGCUUUAAGUGGCCCGUCUUGAAACACGGACC
rnacentral:rRNA from 1 species